CGUCGCGCAGGGGCUGGUGCGCCAGCUGCUGGCGCCGGUCGUCGGGAGCGGCGACAAGCGCGCGCGUUCGUAACGUGCGCGCGGCGCCC
rnacentral:tRNA from 1 species